CAGUCGCCACGGGAAUACGAAGGGGGCUAGCGUUGUUCGGAAUUACUGGGCGUAAAGCGCACGUAGGCGGAUAUUUAAGUCAGGGGUGAAAUCCCAGAGCUCAACUCUGGAACUGCCUUUGAUACUGGGUAUCUUGAGUAUGGAAGAGGUGAGUGGAAUUCCGAGUGUAGAGGUGAAAUUCGUAGAUAUUCGGAGGAACACCAGUGGCGAAGGCGGCUCACUGGUCCAUUACUGACGCUGAGGUGCGAAAGCGUGGGGAGCAAACAGGAUUAGAUACCCCAGUAGUCCCUGUCUCUUAUAC
rnacentral:rRNA from 1 species